UACGGAGGGAGCUAGCGUUGUUCGGAAUUACUGGGCGUAAAGCGCGCGUAGGCGGCUUUGUAAGUUAGAGGUGAAAGCCCGGGGCUCAACCCCGGAACUGCCUUUAAGACUGCAUCGCUUGAAUCCAGGAGAGGUGAGUGGAAUUCCGAGUGUAGAGGUGAAAUUCGUAGAUAUCAGGAGGAACACCGGUGGUGUAGACGGCUUUCUGGACCGUAACUGACGCUGAGACACGAAAGCGUGGGUAGCAAACAGG
rnacentral:rRNA from 1 species